CCCCAAGUGCCAAACAGAUGGUGUAUUUGUGUCCCAACACUUGUUAGUCCCAGUCUUCCGAAGGGACGUGACUUCCCUCAGCCUCCUGCUAUGCCCUCCACUCCCAACUUCAGCUGGAGAAAGCCCGGAGGCUGGGAAUAGAGGACACGAACGUGUCUAAACCCUACGACGAGGACUGCAGAGCCCCCAGCUUUGCCACCCGUUUCCUGCCUGACCUGGAAGAGGAACCCUUGUGCUCUCAGCUUCCUCAGCUACCCAGCAGGAAAAACACCACGGCGCUCCUUCCCGAAGGAAAGGCUGGAUUCUGCAGGAGGCGGUGAAGGCGGCUCAGCCUAUAGCCGUAAACCGCUGCACAAAGCUCAGCUUGGGUCGCUGCCAGGACGUGCGAGUGCACAGGGACGGAGCUGCUCUUCCAAAACUCUGCUCGGGAAGAUGAGCUCCCCCGAGCCGAUCUCUCAACGCCUGCCUCAGACACAACCCCCCAGCCCUCUUCUGCCUGUCUCUGACUCCCAGACCCAUCUGGCAGCAGCACGCUUCCCGCUAGCUUUUUUUUUUUUUUGCCUGAAAAAGCCAGAAUAGCAGGCAAGAGGCACAGACCCGGGGAGAAGCCAUCCCACCAAGGGGAUCCUCCAUCAGAGCAAGGCAACGCUCCGGGUGACUGGAGCUCUGCCACGGGACAGCUGCAGAGCUCUCUAGGGCGGGCAGCUCCCGCUAUGGCAAUAUGUAAAACUUCGGAUGGUUACCCACA